AAACUCAAUUUGUCUGUCUCUUUAACAUAAUUCAUAUUAGCCUCUUUGGGCAAAUUUUAGCCGAACAUUACCCUUUAUUAUGACAGUAGCUCUCAGCAGUAACUCUCAGCUACAAACUUAAUAAUCUUCGGCAGCUGGGGACCCUUCUUUUUCCUUUUGACUGUAAGCCACCUGCGAACGAUAGAAUUCUGAAACCUGUUCACUUGUUGUAGCAUCCUCCCAGCUCUUGUCUUCCCGAAUACGAAUGAAUCUUGGAAAACGUAAACUGAUUCCUUUGUCCUCUUGAACAUAUCCAAUUGCAGCUUUGUAAACCGGAGACAAAGAUAAAUCGGCAGCUAAGACUUCCCACAAGUACUUAGGCUCAAACCAGACGUCAGGCUGAUGCGCAGGUACAUCGCUAUGAGCAUAAAAAUCUUUCUUUUUAGAUAUAACAAUGUCUUUAAGUUGAUUGUAAAAAGUUUCUAAAUGCUCCUCUGAAAAACCAGUCCCGAGUUUGCAAAUCGAUUGAACUGUUUCGGUAUCUGGAUCGUAGCAGCCCAAAAGAAAGGCACCAUAAACAGAAGUACGUUUACCCUUUCCGUAGUAUGCGCCAAUUACAAUCAAAUCCAGAGAAUCUCCAACACCAGAAAGAUAGUCUUUUUUAACUUUUAGCCAAUGCCUGGAACGUUUUGACGGUUCAUAAUGAGAAUCCGGGCCUUCAAGCAUUUUGACCAUUAAACCCUCACAAGAAUCUUUGACAGAUUCUUCAAGGAAUUCUUCAAUGGAUUCAAUAGACUUUUGAUCGCUAUGUUUAGCAAAAGUAAAGUCUCCAGUACUUGGUUGAAACAUUGAGUAAAGUAGUUUUCGACGCUCGUUGAGUGGGGUUUCCAAAAGAGGUUGCCCAUUUAGGUAUAAAAUGUCAAAAGCGAAAAGGCAUGCUCGGACCUUAAUGUCCCCAAUUUUCACAUCUUUCCUCUUUCUUGUUGCAAGUUUUUGAAAAGGUAAAAUUUUGUUUUCAUCACGGUCCCAACCGACAGCUUCGCAAUCGAGAAUAAAAGAACGAGCAUCUGGUUUUUUCCACUUCGAUACAGAAACAGAGAUGUCCGGAUAGCGAACAGACAUGUUUUCAGAAUUCCUAGAAAAUACAUAAAACUUCCCAUCUUCGGUAAAAUGAACUUGGGCGCGCUCGCCAUCGUAUUUGUAUUCACAUGUAAAUGCGGCUUGAUCAAACGUAUUCAAAACUUCUGAAAUUUGUUUCGUCGGCUUAGCCAGCAUGGGUUUUGUUGGGAUUCCAGGUGUUAAUUUACAAGUUUCACGCAAAGUACCAAGUCCAUGCUCAAUCAAGUGAGGAACGAUAAGGUCGUAUGAAGGCAGUUGACAGUAAACAUCUCGAAGAAUCUGCUCUCCUUCAAUCCUGUCUUGUUGCGAAAGUUUUUCUCCAUUCUUAUCAGCAUGAUAUUGAGCGGUGGCAUUUGCUAAUGCUACUAAAAUGGUUUUUUCGGCAAGUUGGAGGCGUAGCUUGCCUUCCAAAGCUCGAAUCAAAUAUUUAGGUUCUGCACCUUCACAGGAACUCAAUAGCCGCUUGAUCACUCCAAUUUUUCUAUUUUGGGAUUGGUUUCCGCUCAUUUGAGCAAUUUUUUUUAAUGAGUCAAAUAAAAAUGGAAUUGUCAGCGCUGCAGGUUUAAACAUAGUGGGUUGAUUUUGACGGGAUGUUUGAGCUACAAGACCAAGAUCACCAACUUUGUGAAACGAUAGUUUAAUCUGUUGAAGCGUUUGCCCUGUAGACUCUCCAAUAGCCUUCAUUAUAAUGCUUUCGCCAAUUCCUAGCUCUAGUCCCGAGUAAUCUGGGCCCAACUAAUGUAAAAAAAGACGUUAGUACUGAGAAGGAGAAAUCCUUUAAAACCAAACGUUCAUACCUUAUUGAUACUUAAAUACACACAGGCCAGUAAAUCGCUGGGAUGGUCGCGAAGAAUUCCAAAAAAGUAAGUCCCCAUUAUAUCAAUGAUUUCCAACCGUUUGCUAGUAUUCUCUAUUUUUGUGAAUGCUUUUACCAUUUCAGCAAAUGUUGCAUGACCUUUUAACUUAUCAUUGCGAGCAUUGGACUCUAACGGUGGUUCUUUGAUUGGCAAAGGUAUUGGAGUAGAUGCCCCAGAAUCGUUGUUACUAGAUACGGCAUCUGAAGAAGAGGAGGAUGAACCUAAAGUCUUUUGCUUUUUUGCCUCAGACACAAUAUUAUUUUCACGCUCAACAUUUUGAGUUCCAGUGUCGUCGUGGUUGUUGUGUUUCGACUCGUCGACUAAUUUCACUGAUUCGACCUUUCUCUUUUCGCUUGUGCUUCUCCCAUCAACAUUUUUGGAAUCAGAAGACGAUUGAGAAACCUCCACGUGCUCGCUUUUGUGCGAAGCAGAAGAAAUGAAGAAGUUGCUAUAUGGGUUAGUCAACGUCUGUCUUCUAUCUAACAAACCUAAUGUCUGACUGCCUUGUCGACAUCCGUAUGUACUGAUUGACUUGUUUAAAACGAGGAAUUUGCGAAAAUACUGUUCGCAUAACAAUCAAGUCAACGAGUAAAGAAUUUCAUAAGAUUUGACAAUAGUGAGGGUACACCUGAAGAACAAGUAACACGUGUACGAUAUUUGUAGUUUAAGGACAGUGAAAACGAAACCAUUUUUUUCUAAGUCUAUAUAGAUGAAAUUAAUUUUUAUGAUUAUAACAGGAUAAUAUAAAAGCUAUUUAUCAUUGAUAUAGUAUGAGUGUUCCUUGUCUCAUUCAUAAAUACUAUUGACUUAAUCAACUCUCUCCCAACGCUCUGUACAUCAUAAAUACAGCUAGAAAAAAUGAGAAGUUGAAUUGUAUAGAAAUGCUUUAGUCAUACCAGAAAUGAACAAUUGCCUGUAUCAACGAACGUAAUAGAAACAAUUUGGAAAUA
rnacentral:lncRNA from 1 species